rnacentral:rRNA from 1 species
UACAGAGGGGGCAAGCGUUGUUCGGAAUUACUGGGCGUAAAGGGCGCGUAGGCGGCCUGUUAAGUCGACCGUGAAAUCCCCGGGCUCAACCCGGGACCUGCGUCCGAUACUGGCAGGCUUGAAUCCGGGAGAGGGAUGCGGAAUUCCAGGUGUAGCGGUGAAAUGCGUAGAUAUCUGGAGGAACACCGGUGGCGAAGGCGGCAUCCUGGACCGGCAUUGACGCUGAGGCGCGAAAGCCAGGGGAGCAAACGGG